rnacentral:siRNA from 1 species
GUAGAAGUAUUUAACGAGUUCAGC